CACGUAGGGCGCAAGCGUUGUCCGGAAUUAUUGGGCGUAAAGAGCUCGUAGGCGGUCUGUUGCGUCCGCUGUGAAAACUCGGGGCUUAACCCCGAGCCUGCAGUGGAUACGGGCAGACUAGAGGUAGGUAGGGGAGAAUGGAAUUCCCGGUGUAGCGGUGAAAUGCGCAGAUAUCGGGAGGAACACCGGUGGCGAAGGCGGUUCUCUGGGCCUUACCUGACGCUGAGACGCGAAAGCUAGGGGAGCGAACAGG
rnacentral:rRNA from 1 species